CCUGGCUCAGGACGAACGCUGGCGGCAGGCCUAACACAUGCAAGUCGAACGGAUCCUUCGGGAUCCAGUGGCGGACGGGUGAGUAACGCGUGGGAACGUGCCUUUUGGUUCGGAACAACUGAGGGAAACUUCAGCUAAUACCGGAUAAGCCCCGAGGGGGAAAGAUUUAUCGCCAAAAGAUCGGCCCGCGUCAGAUUAGGUAGUUGGUGGGGUAAUGGCCUACCAAGCCGAUGAUCUGUAGCUGGUCUGAGAGGAUGAUCAGCCACACUGGGACUGAGACACGGCCCAGACUCCUACGGGAGGCAGCAGUGGGGAAUAUUGGACAAUGGGGGAAACCCUGAUCCAGCCAUGCCGCGUGGAUGAAGAAGGCCCUAGGGUUGUAAAGUCCUUUCGCCCGCUGAAGAUAAUGACGUAAGCG
rnacentral:rRNA from 1 species